rnacentral:rRNA from 1 species
GUAAGGAAUAUUGGACAAUGGACGGAAGUCUGAUCCAGCCAUGCCGCGUGCAGGAUGAAGGCGCUCAGCGUUGUAAACUGCUUUUGGAUGGGAAUAAUAACCUCGACGUGUUCGGGGCUUGAAGGUACCAUCAGAAUAAGCACCGGCUAACUCCGUGCCAGCAGCCGCGGUAAUACGGAGGGUGCAAGCGUUAUCCGGAAUCACUGGGUUUAAAGGGUGCGUAGGCGGCGCGAUAAGUCAGUUGUGAAAUUCCCCGGCUUAACCGGCGGAACUGCGAUUGAUACUGUCGUGCUUGAAUCAGGUUGAGGUAGGCGGAAUGUGGCAUGUAGCGGUGAAAUGCUUAGAUAUGCCAUAGAACACCGAUUGCGAAGGCAGCUUGCUGGACCUUGAUUGACGCUGAGGCACGAAAGCGUGGGGAGCAAACAGGAUUAGAAACCCCAGUAGUCC